GUUUGACGCCAAAAGGGUAGAGGAGAGUUCAAUGACAUUGAGCCUCAUUCACCAAAGGUUUUUAAGAACAAUUUGUUCUCAAGCCCCACGUAUGCAGUUGUCAGGGAGUACUCCCAAGCAGUAGUCUGCCCAGCACACAAACCAGAAGCAAAGAGCCCACUUCCUCAAGGUGAAUACUCCCACACAGUGACAUUAUAGCCUAUCAUUUACGUGCCGUUCAUAGACUCGAAACUGAUCCGCAAAUAGAAACUGAUCUCACGAACGUCACCAAUCCGAUUUAUUUUUAUUGUCCAUGUCACCCCCAUGAAUCUCCAUUCCAACGUGUCCUUCUUUCCUCAUUCUUCCAUAACAUAUUCAGUAGUUCCUUCAGAGCGUUUUGGUUUAAAAGCAGAUGCUGCAGUCACAGGUGCUCACAUGCGGUAGGCACCAUGUCUGUCUCUACCAUCCUGCUGCCUCUGUUGCUGCUGCUCUCUGGAUCCUCAGCCUCCCACUUCCACGGAGGGACCAUGACCUUUAACCCCAAAGGAGUCAACGCAGACGGAUCCUACACGGUGGACAUUCGCUUCAAGUUGGCCCUUCAAGCGACAUGUUCCACUACAGCCUGGGCUAACCUUUGGACAUGUACGAGUGGAAAUUGUGGCAGUAUUAGCAGCAAUGCUCUGUAUAACCUGGACAGUAGCAGUGGAGACUGGUGCCAGUGGGAAGAAGUCAUGAUUAGAAAUGUUGACACCAACCUACCUUUUAUACUUCAACUGUCUGGUGGUAACUGGAUCACCACCUAUGUUGGGGGUAUAUCAUGGAGACUAAGAACUACGGUGGAUCUGGGAGUGAGGUCUGACACAGGGACAGCCAACAGAUCCCCACAGACCACAGUCAUACCUCUUCUGCUAGUUCCAGUGAAUUGUCCCAGGGAUUUUCAGUUUUUGGCCCAUGAUCCAGAUGGAGACCCGGUUCAGUGCAGAUUUGCUCUAUCUGGGAACCAGGAGUGUGCUACUUGUUCACUACCAAGCUUUUUUACACUGAAAGUAAGGACCCAAGGAGGACACACCCAGACAUUCGAGAAGAAUGAUCAUAUUUCAAGUGUAAAUCUCCCAUAUUAAACAUUUAAACUAAAUCUUAAUCAACGUUAUUUUUGUACCCUUCAGUCACCAUGUACGCUAUCUUACUUGAACACUUCCAUCUCGGCUGAAAACACGUACGCGGUGCAGAUUAUGAUGGAGGACUUCCCCACUGCGUCUAUAACCCUGACCUACAAGGAUGGCUCGCAGUCUAACCGGAGUUCCUCCAGCCCUCUCAGCAAGUUGCCCGUACAUUUUGCAGUCAGAGUUGGGGCUGCAGUGCCCUCCUGUGCAGAGGGGGAAUAUCUCCCCAGGUUCCUGUCCCCGACGCCGGCCUACGGAACCCACUUCUACGUUGCUGUCAACAACACACUGGAGAUCUCAGUCAGGGCAGAGGCCAAUCUUUCCAAGUGAGGAAAAUACACUGUAACUCAUGUAUUCACCACUAAGAGGCAGCGUGUACUUUACAUCAAUCAGUCUGCCUGUCUAGAAAUAAUCCUACAUAUCCUUAGUCUAGAAUAAUACUUAUGGGAAUGUGUUGUUGUGGUUUUUUAAGCGUUUCCGAGCUUCUGGUCAGUGGUCCGCACGAUUUUAUAAAGACCACGACUGCACCUGGACAGUUCACAAUAAGAUGGACACCAACAGAAGACGACAGACAGGACCAUCCUAUCUGCUUCGUUUCCCAGGCGCAGGAAGUCGGGUCAGUCUCCAUUUUGCUAAUUCAAGUGAUUCUCUAUCAGUUCAGUUGUUUUAUAAUCCGUGAUCUAUCAUUUUAAGUACCAAAUUUGAAA